rnacentral:tRNA from 1 species
GGGGACGUAGCUCAGUCGUAGAGCGCAUGCUUUGCAUGUAUGAGGUCCCGGGUUCAAUCCCCCCGCAUCUCCA